AUGGAAGAGAACAGGCGGAGAAACAUGUGGAGCGGGGUGAGGUGGUUGAAGCACUACUCGUCGGUGCAAAGCAUCCUGGUCGUCGGCGACGGGGACUUCUCCUUCUCGCUGGCGCUCGCCACUGCCUUCGGCUCCGGGGAGAACAUCGUCGCCACAUCCCUCGACUCCUACGAUGCCCUGGUUGGCAAAUAUAACGAAGCUGAAUCAAAUGUAAUGGAGCUCAAAAGAAUGAGGGCCACUGUUUUGCACGGUGUCGAUGCGAAAAAGAUGAAGACUCGCCCUUAUUUAAAGACGAGACGGUUUGAUCGGAUCGUCUUUAAUUUUCCACAUGCUGGGUUCAAAGCAAAAGAGUACAAAGAGGUGGAUAUGGUCAACUUGCAUAAGGAUUUGGUGAAGGGUUUUCUUGGCAAUGCUCGACAUCUGGUUCAACCUUAUGGUGAAAUCCACAUCAGCCACAAGAUGGGGCAUCCUUACGAUGCCUGGGAUCUCAAGGGGCCUUGGAGUCUUCCCUUGUUAUGA
rnacentral:rRNA from 1 species